CCUCUUACUUUCACGCCAGAACACAACGCAAGAACAACAGGCGUAACACAUGAACGGGUUACACAUACUGAGAAGAGGAGGCGAGAGCAGAGAACGAGAGUGCAGCAGUUUGGUGAAAGGAACAGGUGAAGAAGAGUGAAAAGCUCACCUGAUGUAGUGGUGAGGCCAUGUUCACCACUAGAUGGAGACAACCUGGCACAGGCCUCCUCCUGUUUCACUGCCAUAUAUCCACCACCAGAGGGCUCCACUGACCUGCCUGCUGACAUCAGAGCACACCCCUGUGUCAUGUGACCUGGCAGGAGUAGCAAAGCUGGACUCAGACCUGGCCCAGGCAAGUUCAAAGGCAGCUGUGGUAGAGAGAGUAUAUGGGCUCAAAUUGUGGUCAUAAAUAUUUUGUACUUGUAAAUCAGGAUUUGUGUGUGUAUGG